rnacentral:rRNA from 1 species
UGAGGUAAGAGCAUUUGGUGGAUGCCUAGGCAUACACAGGCGAUGAAGGACGUGGCACGCUGCGAUAAGCUACGGCGAGAUGUGAGCAAUCUUUGACCCGUAGAUUUCCGAAUGGGGAAACCCAUCCUCACCAUUUAAUUUCGAUAUUGUUCUGCAGUAUCGGAGUUAGGUGGGAAGGAUAUUACCAAAGUGAAUACAUAGCUUUGGUGAAGCGAACCCGGCGAACUGAAACAUCUAAGUACCCGGAGGAAAAGACAUCAACCGAGAUUCCGUUAGUAGUGGCGAGCGAACGCGGAGUAGGCCAGUACCUUUGAUUGCGUUAGCAGAAGUCUUUGGAAAGAGACACCAUAGUGGGUGACAGUCCCGUAUGUUAAAACAAUAUUGAAGGUCUUGAGUAGGGCGGGGCACGUGAAACCUUGUCUGAACAUGGGGGGACCACCCUCCAAGCCUAAAUACUCGUGUAUGACCGAUAGUGAACAAGUACCGUGAGGCAAAGGUGAAAAGAACCCCGAUUAGGGGAGUGAAACAGUUCCUGAAACCGAAUGCUUACAAGCAGUAGGAGGGUCUUUAAGGCCUGACUGCGUACCUCUUGCAUAAUGGGUCUGUGACUUAAUGUAUCAAGCAAGCUUAAGCCGAUAGGUGUAGGCGCAGCGAAUAGCGAGUCUGAAUAGGGCGAUUUAGUUUGAUGCAUUAGACCCGAAACCCGGCGAUCUAGGCAUGGUCAGGAUGAAGGUAAGGUAACACUUACUGGAGGUCCGAACCGAUUAACGUUGAAAAGUUAUCGGAUGAACUGUGUUUAGGGGUGAAAGGCCAAUCAAGCCGGGAAAUAGCUGGUUCUCCGCGAAAACUAUUGAGGUAGUGCCUCAUGUGAUGACCGUUGGGGGUAGAGCACUGGAUGGAUGCGGGGGUUUCGCGACCUACCAAAUCUAACCAAACUCCGAAUACCAACGAGUUUAACAUGGGAGACAGACGGCGGGUGCUAAGGUCCGUCGUCGAGAGGGAAACAGCCCUGACCUACAGCUAAGGUCCCCAAGUCAUGUCUAAGUGGGAAAGCUUGUGAAGACCCCAAAACAACCAGGAGGUUGGCUUAGAAGCAGCCAUCCUUUAAAGAAAGCGUAACAGCUCACUGGUCUAAAUAAGGGUCUUUGCGGCGAAGAUGUAACGGGGCUCAAGACAUGCACCGAAGCUUAGGAUUGUUACAUUAGUAACAGUGGUAGCGGAGCGUUCCGUAAGCCUGUGAAGCAGUCUGGUAAUGGACUGUGGAGGUAUCGGAAGUGCGAAUGCAGACAUGAGUAGCGAUAAAUAGGGUGAGAUGCCCUAUCGCCGAAAGUCCAAGGGUUCCUGCGCAAGGCUAAUCCGCGCAGGGUGAGUCGGCCCCUAAGACGAGCCCGAAGGGGUAGUCGAUGGGAAACAGGUUAAUAUUCCUGUACCUGGAGAGAUGUGACGGAUCGUGUAAAUUGUAUGUCCUUAUCGGAUUGGACAUGCUCAUAAGCGGUUCCAGGAAAUAGCCUCUCCAUAUAGACCGUACCCUAAACCGACACAGGUGGACAGGUAGAGUAUACCAAGGCGCUUGAGAGAAGGGUGUUGAAGGAACUCGGCAAAUUGCCUCCGUACCUUCGGAAGAAGGAGGCCCUUAUUAUAGGCAACUAUUCUAAGGGGGCACAGGCCAGGGGGUAGCGACUGUUUAGCAAAAACACAGGGCUCUGCAAAGUCGGCUUCAAGACGACGUAUAGGGCCUGACGCCUGCCCGGUGCUGGAAGGUUAAGUGGAGGAGUGCAAGCUCUGAAAUGAAGCCCCAGUAAACGGCGGCCGUAACUAUAACGGUCCUAAGGUAGCGAAAUUCCUUGUCGGGUAAGUUCCGACCUGCACGAAUGGCGUAACGACUUCCCCACUGUCUCCAACACCUGCUCAGCGAAAUUGAAUUCUCCGUGAAGAUGCGGAGUACCCGCGGUUAGACGGAAAGACCCCGUGCACCUUUACUGCAGCUUCAGAGUGGCAUUAGGAAAGAACUGUGUAGCAUAGGUGGGAGGCUUUGAAACUUGAGCGCCAGCUUGAGUGGAGCCAUAGGUGAAAUACCACCCUGUUGUUUUCUGAUGUCUAACCUAGAACCAUGAAACUGGUUCAGGGACCCUCUGUGGCGGGUAGUUUGACUGGGGCGGUCGCCUCCUAAAGAGUAACGGAGGCGCGCGAUGGUUGGCUCAGGCCGGUUGGAAACCGGCUGCAAGAGUGCAAUGGCAUAAGCCAGCCUGACUGUGAGACUGACAAGUCGAACAGAGACGAAAGUCGGUCAUAGUGAUCCGGUGGUCCCUCGUGGAAGGGCCAUCGCUCAACGGAUAAAAGGUACGCCGGGGAUAACAGGCUGAUAACCCCCAAGAGCUCAUAUCGACGGGGUUGUUUGGCACCUCGAUGUCGGCUCAUCACAUCCUGGGGCUGGAGCAGGUCCCAAGGGUUUGGCUGUUCGCCAAUUAAAGUGGUACGUGAGCUGGGUUCAGAACGUCGCGAGACAGUUUGGUCCCUAUCUGCCGUGGGCGUCGAUAUUUGAGAGGAGUUGCCCUUAGUACGAAAGGACCGGGGUGAACAUGCCUCUGGUGGACCUGUCGUGGCGCCAGCCGCGCAGCAGGGUAGCUAUGCAUGGACGGGAUAACCGCUGAAAGCAUCUAAGCGGGAAGCCUCCCUCAAGAUAAGAUAUCUCAGAGCCGUCGAAGACUACGACGUUGAUAGGCCAGAUGUGGAAGUGUGGUAACACAUGUAGCUAACUGGUCCUAAUUGCUCUAUUCACGCUUUUG